UAAACUUUCUAGCUGUUGUGACCUAAACCAAAGGCUCAAAGGCAAGUAGGUGAGUGUAACAGAUUCAUGAACGCAUGUGCUACCUAGAAUUCCAUUUUGGGGAGGGCCCGAGAACUGCACGAGACGCGUCCGCGCGCGAGAUCUAUCUCCGCUCGAGGCUGUCGCGCGGCACAUGACACGCGAGUUCGCGGUGCAGAACCAGGUGAAGGCUUUCAGGAGGCGGCGGUGACAGUCAGCACGACCGACGCUCCCGACCAGUUUAAUUGAUUACAUUCUGGCGCAUCCAAGAGAAGAAAAUACACGCAUGUCUUCUACGAAGAAACUUAUAUGCGUGCUUUAGUGAAGAUUACAUCUUUACUCCAUUCAUGGGACGGUAAUCGGAAUCAAAAUUGGACCGUAGGUAUCGACAAACUUUACUACAACUGUCAAUGCGUAGGCUAAAGUGGACUAAAAUCAAAACAAGCUGAGCUGAUACAUCGCUAAAACAAUGGAAGUCGAUCAGAGUUUGGAAUAUCCAUAAAGAUGGUGCUUGUGUGAAGCUGAAGUAUUUGGUGAACAGUAGGCCAAGAGCUGGAGUCGGCUUGUCAGUCACUAAGCCACAGGGAGACGAGGGGAAAGCGCAGGGGCGGCGGGGCGACACACCCGUGGAUUACUCACGGGAACACAGAGAGCCUCUGCUGUGCUUUCUCCAAUCAGGGAGGAGAAAUGGGCCUGGCCAGAACCAACAGCUGACAAACACACAUACACAGUAACACACAGAUGCAGAGAGACGUAUUGCUUUAACACAAACACAGGCAUACGUGCACACCAGCCAUAUAACAUCAUCAAUACCAGUAUAUGCUGUAAAAAUCCCUAAUCUUCUGCAAAGCAUUCAAAAAAGUCUAUUAUAUAAAGAUAAGAAUGAAAAAAAAACAAGCGGUUGCGUUUAGACUUCUAGCACCAAGACCUUAUCAGCACUGAAUAUCCAUCAGACGUUUUCCUGUCUUUUGUGCAGCACUUCUCUACAUUAGGCGCAAGAGGAGCAUUUCUACAGGCCACCAUGCAUUAAUGAAGCUGUCUUGGACCUGCUUUAAAGAGAAACCAUUAAUUCUCUGUUAAGAUUACAUUCCGGGGAUGAUUUAAGGAGGAUCGGGAGACUGUGCAGCAUUGCUGUGAUCUGGAGGAAAGGUUUUUAUGGAUGGAGGAGUCAUAUAGGGAGAGGGUCUUGUCUCUAAAAAAACAUUUCAAACGGAGAGGAAAAAGGCAUUUGGGUAAGCAGAACAAAGGAGUAUAAUGACGCCAGUGAAGCGGCUGAAAAACCGCUUCUCUCACAGAGUGAAUGUGAAACAUGGUCUAAAACGAGGUUGAAAAGUCUGUGACCAAUAGUGAAAUUUAAUUACAAAUUAUAUUACUGUAUCCACAUAGCAAUUUUCGUAAAAGUUAAAAAUGAACAUGAAUUUCUAAAUGUCUAAGUAACUGGUUUGUCCUCAUUCGCUUUAAAGUCGCAAUGAGACAGAAGUCUUAGCGGAUCUUUUCCGUAUUUGGACACACAUCUAAAUGGAAUGGACUAUUGAGAAAAAGAUGUAGGGAAGGGACUUAUUUCUAUCAGUCGACUGUUGAUUGGUUGGAGGCAGAUCAGCUGAAUGCUAGCUUGCAGUCGAUUGUAAGUAAAGGGCAGUCAUCUAAAUGACUGGAGAAGUCAUUUUGCCAAAAGAUCAAGUCAUGACAUUUUUUUUUUAAAUCACAAAAAAAAAAAAAAAAAAAAAUCACAAUAA